GAGAGUUGCCAUGCCUGAGAAGAGUGCAGGACAGAGAGGCAUGGCCGCCAAUGGAAGGAAUUAGGAGAGUGCGGCCCCGGGGGCCUCCCAACAGAGUCUGGAGCGGCCACCACAUAGAAUUUAGUCUCUGAGAAGAUAUGGGCACAGCGACAAGACUGCCUGGGUUGUGGCAUGAUAAUCACUGAGAAACACUGCUCCAUUCCCUUGCCUGCUGCCAAGGCUAGCCUAAACCUUGGAAAACAGACGAUACCCAGAGAGUUAAAUGUCUCAUACUGCCUAAGUCAAGACAUGGACGUUUCUACUGGACCUGCUCCUUCUUACCCACAGAUGGUUCCACAGACCCUGGACAGCAAGAAAACAGCCAACGCUCCUAAGACUGGACCAACAUUCCCAUCCAUUUUCCUAGGUUUCCCAGAGACACAUUGUCCCAAAGCCAGCAGGAAGUGACUGAAGAUCACAACCACCCUCUUCCUGCCUCAUCAUCGCCUCUGUUUAGAUUUUCUCUUUUUAAUUAAAUCAAAACAGAGAAUGUUAACAUUCCUUCUAUGCUCUGCCCCACAGUUACCUGGCAACGUCCAGGUAAUGUCUGGCUUUCUAUAAAAGCAGCUGCUUGCCCCUCACUCUCUUAUUCUCUGUCCC
rnacentral:sRNA from 1 species